GCCCUCGUAGCUCAGCCCGGAUAAGAGCAGCACACUCCUAAUGUGCAGGCCCCAGGUUCAAAUCCUGGCGGGGGCG
rnacentral:tRNA from 1 species